GCCUGAGUGGCUCAGUCAGUUAAGUGUCUGACUUUGGCUCAGGUCAUGAUCUGGUGGUUUGUGGGUUCGAGCCCCACCUCAGGCU
rnacentral:tRNA from 1 species